AACGAACGCUGGCGGCAGGCUUAACACAUGCAAGUCGAGCGCCCCGCAAGGGGAGCGGCAGCCGGGUGAGUAACGCGUGGGCAUCUACCCAUCUCUACGGAAUAACGCAUGGAAACGUGUGCUAAUACCGUAUACGUCCUUCGGGAGAAAGAUUUAUCGGAGAUGGAUGAGCCCGAGUUUGAUUAGCUAGUUGGUGGGGUAAAGGCCUACCAAGGCGACGAGCCAUAGCUGGUCUGAGAGAAUGAUCAGCCACACUGGGACUGAGACACGGCCCAGACUCCUACGGGAGCCAGCAGUGGGGAAUAUUGGACAAUGGGCGCAAGCCUGAUCCAGCCAUGCCGCGUGAGUGAUGAAGGCCCUAGGGUUGUAAAGCUCUUUCACCGGUGAAGAUUAUGACGGUAACCGGAGAAGAAGCCCCGGCUAACUUCGUGCCAGCAGCCGCCGUAAUAC
rnacentral:rRNA from 1 species